rnacentral:rRNA from 1 species
GAUGAACGCUGACAGAAUGCUUAACACAUGCAAGUCUUUGGCGAAGCUGUGCUUGCACAGCCUAGCCAAGGCGGACGGGUGAGUAACGCGUAAGGAACUUGCCCUGCAGUCAGGGAUAACAGACGGAAACGACUGAUAAGACCUGGUAAAGUCAGGCGGACUCAUGUCCAGCCUGAUGAAAAGAGGUGCUGCAGGAGAGCCUUGCGUCCUAUUAGCUUGUUGGUGGGGUAACGGCCCACCAAGGCGAUGAUAGGUAGCCGGCCUGAGAGGGUGGACGGCCACAAGGGGACUGAGAUACGGCCCUUACUCCUACGGGAGGCAGCAGUGGGGAAUAUUGGACAAUGGGGGCAACCCUGAUCCAGCAAUUCUGUGUGCACGAUGAAGGUUUUCGGAUUGUAAAGUGCUUUCAGCAGGGAAGAAAAAAUGACGGUACCUGCAGAAGAAGCGACGGCUAAAUACGUG